rnacentral:tRNA from 1 species
AGCUUUAUAGUCAUUUUUUUUUUGAUAUUAAAUUGCAAAUUUAAAGGGGUAUAAAAUACUAAGGCUU